AAGGUUUCUGAUCCAGGGUAAAUCAACACGAAGGCUUGCGCGCAUCACCGCGCAACCGCGGCCCUGCUGGGAAGCGGCGGCAUAAAUGUAGGCGGAGGAUUUCACAACGGCCUGGACCGGCGAUAUGAUUUCGCGCUGCUUGCGAGCUCCGACAGCUCGUUUGCGGCCUGCAUCAUCUGCCUGGAGCGCGAGUCUUCCAG
rnacentral:misc_RNA from 1 species